AGGGAAUUUUGCGCAAUGGACGAAAGUCUGACGCAGCAAUACCGUGUGAGGGAUGAAGCAUUUCGGUGUGUAAACCUCUGUCGAUGAUGAAUAAAGCAUUGGGGAGUGGAAAGCCCCGGUGUUGAAGGUAAUCAUGAAGGAAGCACCGGCUAACUCUGUGCCAGCAGCCGCGGUAAUACAGGGGGUGCAAGCGUUGUUCGGAAUUACUGGGCGUAAAGGGAGCGUAGGCGGAAUUGCAAGACAGAGGUUAAAUCUCCGGGCUCAACCUGGAACUUGCCUUUGUGACUGCAGUUCUUGAGUAUGGUAGAGGUCAGUGGAAUUUCCGGUGUAGCGGUGGAAUGCGUAGAGAUCGGAAAGAACACCAGAGGCGAAGGCGACUGACUGGACCAAUACUGACGCUGAGGCUCGAAAGCGUGGGGAGCAAAC
rnacentral:rRNA from 1 species